CCUAUGGACUGCAGCCCACCAGGCUCCUCUGUCCAGGGGAUUCUCCAGACAAGAAUACUGCAGUGGGUAGCCUUUCCCUCCUCCAAGGGAUCUUCCCAACUCAAGAUUGAACUCAGGUCUUCCACAUGGCACUCCAUUUCCUCUGUGUCCCUACAAAGAAGAGGUCAUGUGAGCACCUAGCAAGAUGGCAGCUGUCUGGAAUCGAGGGGAGAGCUGUUACCAGACAUCAAUCCUACAGGCACCUUGGACUUCCAGCCUUCAGACUAUAUGCAAUUCAAAGUCAGUGUUUGCCAACUUGUGGUGUGUGGGUCACCUGCAGCAGAAUCACCUGGGAUUUUUCUGGCCUCACUCCAGUGGGAAAGUAGAACCUCGAGGGUCUAGAAACGGGCCCAGAGGCUUCAGAUGCAGCUUUGAGCUUCAGGAGGAGGGUAGUGGCCACACAUGCUGAAGGUGAGGAGAGCACCCGGUGAUGCCUCUUCCUGGCUUGAAGCUGACGUGAAAAAGCACAAAAGCACCGCACACACACCAUAGAGGAAGCGGACAGCCUCAGGUAGAUCACCCUCUGGGAUUUCCACACUGAAUCUGGCUUCACCUGAGGAAGACUACUGGGGAAAGGUCCUGUGUUUGGAAAUUAACAUCUCAAGGAAGAUUUAAUCCCUCACUGGGGAAAAUCAAGGUCUCCAUGAUCUAUGAGAGCCUGCUGGAGCACUUCCAGGGACACCAAGUUUGAGGCCAUCAUGAAUCCAUUCACAUUCUGACUGAAUCCAUAAUGGACUCUGGCGUGAGCUGGCUCUGUUUAGAGUCUGUAUAACCCUUAGGUCUUGAUACCGUGUGCCUUUCCUGCCAUGUUCAUGGACUCUUUUGUAUCAAAAAAGUAUUUUAUGCAUUAUAAAUGUAAUAUUUUAUGUAUUAUAUUAUUUAAGUAUUUUAUGUAUUAGAAAA